GAUGAACGCUGGCGGCGUGCCUAAUACAUGCAAGUCGAGCGAACAGACGAGGAGCUUGCUCCUCUGACGUUAGCGGCGGACGGGUGAGUAACACGUGGAUAACCUACCUAUAAGACUGGGAUAACUUCGGGAAACCGGAGCUAAUACCGGAUAAUAUAUUUAACCGCAUGGUUCAAUAGUGAAAGACGGUUUUGCUGUCACUUAUAGAUGGAUCCGCGCCGCAUUACCUAGUUGGUAAGGUAACGGCUUACAAAGCCAACGAUGCUUAGCCGACCUGAGAGGGUGAUCGGCCACACUGGAACGGAGACACGGUCCAGACCCCUACGGGAGGCAGCAGUAGGGAAUCUUCCGAAAUGGGCGAAAUCCUGACGGAGCAACGCCGCGUGAUUGAUGAAGGUCUUCGGAUCGUAAACCUCUGUUAUUAGGGAAGAACAAAUGUGUAAGUAACUAUGCACGUCUUGACGGUACCUAAUCAGAAAGCCACGGCUAACUACGUG
rnacentral:rRNA from 1 species